CCCGGCCCCGCCCCGCCGCAGCGAGCGCGGCCUCCGCAGGCACCAUCGGCGGUCCGGGCGGCCGCCGGCCCCGCGGGAGGAUGUUGUUACUCUGCAGCCUGAUGGAUGGUGCCACACAGAAUCACUGAAUCAGUUAGGUUGGAAAAGACUUCUGCAAUCCCUGAGUCCAGCCUGUGAUGGAUCAGAACCUUGUCAACUGGACCAGAGCACAUCCAGGCUUUCCUUCAACAUCUCCAGGGAUGGUGACUCUGCCACCUCCCUUGACAGACCCUUCCAAUAUCUAAUCACCCUUUCUGUGAAAAAAAAUUCCUCCUGAUGUACAACCUAAACCUUCCCUGGCACAGCUUAAGGCCCUGUCUUCUCAUCCUGUCGCUGGUUGCCUGGAAGAAGAGGCUAAAACUCCUUUCAGGUAGUUAAAAGAAGUAAUGGUAAAAGCCACAAGCUUUUCAGGUAAUGAAAUAAUUAUAUAGAGGUUGUACUGUUCAGAAGACAUUAUUAGGUAAAAAAAUAAGUAAAGCUUAGAAAAAAAACAGGGUACAGAAAACUGGAUGGUAGGAAGUGGGUAAGGGCUCCCUCACCAAAUAUGUCCUGUUUAAAAGUAGGUAGAGCACCUGUGAAAUUACAAAUCCUGAUGGCAAGUGAUGAUUGUUUCAGGUAUAAUACUGCUGUUGUUUUAAGAAUUCAGCUGUGAUACAUCCUUUAUGUAUCUUCACAUUAAAAGUCCUACUGUCCUGGAGGUGUGCUGGGCUCUGGGAACCACAAUCCGAAGACAUAAAAUGGUCAAAAGUAUAAGUUUUCCAAGGAAAAAUAACAAAAAAACCCUCCUUAUUUGAUUCCUUUUGAGCUUCAAAUAUUUUAAGCUUCCUUUGUUUACUAUGAGCAGGAUUAAAGGUGUCUUUUACAUGAGGAAGUCUUCUCAUCAAGUGCUCCUGACCAAUCAUAAUAACAUCUGUUUACUUGGCAUUAAUUGUUUGCCUGAAUUCUACCUUGGGUAUGUAGCUGAAGUAGUUUUGAGUGGUCAUUUAAGUUAAUGCUAAAGAUAACUGCUGCACCCCAUUGGUUUGACUUUACUUGGCAGCCACCAACAUUCAUGGACAGUGAACUGUAUAAAUGAGUUAAUCAGAUAAGUAAACUUUUUUAAAAUAAACUCAGGUUAGAUUUAGUCCAGAUAGCUGCCAUCUGAUCUGUGGUGCAGGUUGCAUAAAUGUUCAUGCUGGUACAAGGAAAUUUAAAAAGAAAAAGAGAGCAGGAUCAUUUUCAAUUGUAGCAAUAAUAUAGGAGCACAAUUACAUAAUGUUAGCGUGAAUUUUAAAACACUGAAAAUCUGUUUCAGUAGGAAAAAACUUACUUCUUCUCAUAUAACUAAUAAGAAAAUUGUAUGUUCUGCCCAAUAUUGAAAGACCUUUUCUCCUCCAAAUUGCUUCACAAAACAGAAGUACUGGCAUGCUAAACUCCUUUCUGGGGCUCUGAGCAAGUCAGAUCAGAAUGGCAGUAUUAAAAUUAAAUUAGCCAUAUUUCUGAGCUGCCACUUCUGACCAAAGUCUCCAUGAUAUUGGUUGUAUCAUUUGAAGCACUAUAAAAGUGUGGUAUGGCUGUUACGUUCUAGAUAUGUGUAUAUUUGCAUAGGAACUAUCCCAAUGAAAUUUAAUGAACACAAGGACUUUAUAAAGUGGAGUUUAUAAAGUGGACUUACUGAGGUUUGCUGGAUAGUGGUUUUUAUGUGGAGACUUAUUCUUAAGUGCCUUCUACAUAAUGGAAAGAAAAUAGACUUAAUAGACUUUAUAGUUUUCAAAACCCAGUAGUAAUACUAGAAGCACUUUCUUUAAAAAUAAAAAUUAGUUUACAUUACUACUUACUUAGAAAUUUCAAAAAUUAUCUUCUGUUUAGAGUGCAGAAAUCCCUGAAACAGUUCUUCCUGUACAGUAGCCUCUGAAGUGUACAUAUAUAUUUUAAAUAAUCCUGUUGAUUAUUCAAGUCUUAUUCACAGUGUGUUUCCAAGUGUGCCUAAGGAACAUUUAACAGGGAUUAUAUACUGUAUUAGUGUUGAACAUAUAAGCUGUAUUCUAAUAAACUAUUCUUAAAGGAA